UACGUAGGUGGCAAGCGUUGUCCGGAUUUAUUGGGUUUAAAGGGUGCGUAGGCGGUAAUUUAAGUCAGUGGUGAAAUACGGCAGCUUAACUGUCGAGGUGCCAUUGAUACUGGGUUACUUGAGUACUGGUGAGGUAGGCGGAAUGGACGGUGUAGCGGUGAAAUGCUUAGAGAUCGUCCAGAACACCGAUAGCGAAGGCAGCUUACUAAGGAGUAACUGACGCUGAGGCACGAAAGUGUGGGGAUCAAACAGG
rnacentral:rRNA from 1 species